GCUGCAGCUCCGCCGCCCGCGGGGCCGCCGGGAGGGUCCGCAGCGCGCCUCCUCGGGUUCCGCCCACCGAAACUUCUGUUUUUCCUAUAAGAGCGAGGCAGGCAGCAGCCUGAGUAUUACAGCUUUCAUUGCUUUUCCGUCCCUCAGGAAAGGCGCUUACGCUUCCCGGCGUUUGACCUCCAGAUGAACUGACCAGCCAUAGGCUGGCAACCCUGCGAUCAGUCAGCACUGGAAGUAACUAACACAGGCCCCCAGUGGAUUGGAUGAUGUUGCCUACAUUGCCCAAUUGCUUUGGAGCUGGGAAGAGUGUCCAUCAGCCAAGAUUCAGAACCUGGAGCACAGAGAAGAACUCUCAGCUGUUCCAUCUCUCAUGGCUCGUGCAUGGGGGGGUUCCAGAACCCAGCUCCCGACCACUUUGCUGUAAACAGACCUAGAUACCAACGUAGCUUGGCAUCAUACAAAAAACCAUCAAAAGUGGUGUCAAAGAUCAGCUUCUGCUUCUGUCCUAGGUUGGGGUCCCCAGAAAAGACCCUGAGGUGAAAAAUUGUGUGUGCUGGCGACUUCUAAGGAAACUCAUAAGGAAGUUGGAGAAGCCAGACCUGGCAGUGGGGAAAGCCAAGGAAAAGUUGUGAUUAACAGAGCAGCCUCAGCCUGAUCCCACGGGGAGCUCUGGAGUGUAAGUUACAUCUCAGAGUCGCCAUGACCUGUGGCAAGGGAGCUAGGCUCUCAUCUUCCUGUACUGAUGAAUCAUUGCUAAGGGCCACUCCAGAAGGAUAUAAAUUUUCAGCUUUUCCACCAGUAUGGACAAAGCAGGCUCUGCUAGUCCAGGGGCAGUACCAGCCAUUGGAAAUGAAGGUGCACCUAAGCCAUGGGAAGUAGAUUUAAGGGGAUCUGGAUGGGGCCCCGACAUUAUCUGCUAUAGCUUCCAGAGAAACUUGCAUUUGAGUAAGUUCUGCUGCUCGGAAAAUGUUUGACGCCACUGGACUACAGUAUCUUUUGAAUGUUUUUUGUUUGGGUUUUGUUUACCUCCUGGCUCUGAAAGUCUGUAAUUCUUCAAGACAGAGCUGCAGACCACAUGGUUUUGGGGACUGGAUACUAAAUUAUCCCAUUAGGGUUGGAAAUAGUUCCUAAAUCACACCCUAGGAGUGCCUGAAGCAAAAGCCCAAACAUAGCUGGUGGCAGCAAUUUUCAGCUCUGAAAAAUCUAGUCACAAAAAUAUAAGAAUUAUUGAACCUUACCCAUCAGAGAUGACACACAGGGAAGGAGGCAUUGCAGCUCUCCCCCACCCCCCAUCCUUAUCCCUGUUUCCUUCUGCUCUGCAGGUUUGGGCUAAUAAUAGAAAUUGAGUAGGUGCUAGUUCCCAUGUUGCAAAUUUUUCUUUAUUGAUGAUAUAUAAUUGCGUUUUAUUUCCAUUCAGUAAUUCUUCAGAAUAAACCUUAAGAUAUGCAAAAUGAGAAAUGAAGAUGAAAUUGUAAUACAAUAAAAGUGUCUUGGAAAAGUUAUCUCUAACCCUUUCCCCUCUGGAUACAAUUUUGAGGUUUUAUAAAUUUUCUUUUCUUUCUUUUCUUUCUUUCUUUCUUUCUUUCUUUCUUUCUUUCUUUCUUUUUUAAUUUUCUUGUUUUUAAAAAAAAUAAAGUAGAAAAAGAAGGUAUGAGGGAGUCUUCCAAUCUAUCAAAAUAUUUACCUUAACACCUAAAAUAAUGAGUUCACCAUCUCAUACAGGUUAAUCCCUAAGGUGCUAUCAUAUCCCAUGACACUGUCCUAUCUCCUUAAAAACGUGACUUUGGAGCCUACGUUGGAAAUACCUUGUGUUUUUCAUUCUCUGGAAACAUUUCAUCACUGGCAAAUAGAAUGAUGUUUAGAGGAGUUUGUUCAUUUUGACUGUGCAUGAAAAGGUAAACCUGUUCUUUCUUCAUUGCCAACAGGCGGAAAUACACAAAACAUCCAAUGGAACAUCAAAACAAAUUAAAUUCUUGCACCUGCUUGUAAA